GAAAAGAAGAAGCACCCGCUUCUCACCUGAUUGACGCACCAGGCAGUUGACAGGUUUUGCGAAGACUUUUAUUAAUGUUGGUUUCGUAAAGUGUGGGUGUGUUCACCCACACUUUUUUUGUU
rnacentral:sRNA from 1 species